UGAGGAAUAUUGGUCAAUGGACGAGAGUCUGAACCAGCCAAGUAGCGUGAAGGAUGACUGCCCUAUGGGUUGUAAACUUCUUUUAUAAGGGAAUAAAGUGCACCACGUGUGGUGUUUUGUAUGUACCUUAUGAAUAAGGAUCGGCUAACUCCGUGCCAGCAGCCGCGGUAAUACGGAGGAUCCGAGCGUUAUCCGGAUUUAUUGGGUUUAAAGGGAGCGUAGGCGGCGGGUUAAGUCAGUUGUGAAAGUUUGCGGCUCAACCGUAAAAUUGCAGUUGAUACUGUCCCGCUUGAGUGCGGUAGAGGCAGGCGGAAUUCGUGGUGUAGCGGUGAAAUGCUUAGAUAUCACGAAGAACUCCGAUUGCGAAGGCAGCUUGCUGGAGCGUAACUGACGCUGAUGCUCGAAAGUGCGGGUAUCAAACAGGAUUAGAUACCCUGGUAGU
rnacentral:rRNA from 1 species